rnacentral:rRNA from 1 species
UACGGGGGGGGCAAGCGUUGUUCGGAAUUACUGGGCGUAAAGGGCUCGUAGGUGGCCAACUAAGUCAGACGUGAAAUCCCUCGGCUUAACCGGGGAACUGCGUCUGAUACUGGAUGGCUUGAGGUUGGGAGAGGGAUGCGGAAUUCCAGGUGUAGCGGUGAAAUGCGUAGAUAUCUGGAGGAACACCGGUGGCGAAGGCGGCAUCCUGGACCAAUUCUGGACGCUGAGGAGCGAAAGCCAGGGGAGCAAACGGG